AUAUUUUGACUUAAAAAUAAAUAUGAUUCAUGCUAUAAUAUAACUCAAACACACAAGUAACGUUAAAAACAUACUUUAUUAUUAACUAAAUUAGUCAGAAUCUGGAUUCGCGCCAAAUUAUCCUUGAGAUAAAUAGUGCUCUCACCGUUCAGGUCCUUAACAAAGUUCUUAACAAUAAAGUGAUCUCGGUCAACGCGAACUCCAAUCUUAUCCUAUCUAUCAAGGUUUGGCUCAUGAAAUAU
rnacentral:lncRNA from 1 species